AGAGUUUGAUCCUGGCUCAGAUUGAACGCUGGCGGCAUGCCUUACACAUGCAAGUCGAACGGUAACAGGUCUUCGGACGCUGACGAGUGGCGAACGGGUGAGUAAUACAUCGGAACGUGCCCGAUCGUGGGGGAUAACGGAGCGAAAGCUUUGCUAAUACCGCAUACGAUCUACGGAUGAAAGCAGGGGACCGCAAGGCCUUGCGCGGACGGAGCGGCCGAUGGCAGAUUAGGUAGUUGGUGGGAUAAAAGCUUACCAAGCCGACGAUCUGUAGCUGGUCUGAGAGGAUGAUCAGCCACACUGGGACUGAGACACGGCCCAGACUCCUACGGGAGGCAGCAGUGGGGAAUUUUGGACAAUGGGCGCAAGCCUGAUCCAGCCAUGCCGCGUGCAGGAUGAAGGCCUUCGGGUUGUAAACUGCUUUUGUACGGAACGAAAAGCUUUCCUCUAAUAAAGGGGAGUCAUGACGGUACCGUAAGAAUGAGCACCGGCUAACUACGUGCCAGCAGCCGCGGUAAUACGUAGGGUGCAAGCGUUAAUCGGAAUUACUGGGCGUAAAGCGUGCGCAGGCGGUUUUGUAAGACAGAGGUGAAAUCCCCGGGCUCAACCUGGGAACUGCCUUUGUGACUGCAAGGCUGGAGUGCGGCAGAGGGGGAUGGAAUUCCGCGUGUAGCAGUGAAAUGCGUAGAUAUGCGGAGGAACACCGAUGGCGAAGGCAAUCCCCUGGGCCUGCACUGACGCUCAUGCACGAAAGCGUGGGGAGCAAAAAGGAUUAGA
rnacentral:rRNA from 1 species